GGGUUUUGUGGAAUACUUACUGAACUAAUAUACGUCUGUUCAAUGAAUUAAUAGUUAUGGUACAAUAUGAUACUCAGUGUUAAAAAACAUGUGUAAUAAAAAUAUAAUGGCAUUUAUUUGAAAUCAUAAAAUUUAGUUUUCCAUACAAUGCUUACAGUUUUGCAAUUGCGACGAUAAAGGAAAUUUUCUACUCAAAAAAAUGUCUGUUAAAGACAUGUGUAUAUUGUAGCAAUUAUAUUGUACUUGUAUUUAUAUUAUACAUGAUAAUAAUUGACUUAUGGCUGAUGAUAGCGGCAGUUUACUAUUUGUGUAACAGUUUGACCAUAUUUCCUUGAACAUGUGAUUGUUUAUAAUGAACUGUAAUUGAAUGCAUGAAACAUUGUUGUUCUGUUGCUUAACAGCUGAAAAUAGCUUGAUGGUUGUUAAUUGUGUGAAAUGUUUCAAAUUAAUCAUAUUGAUACAUAGAAAAUAAAAUUACAUUUUGCGUUAAUUUAAAUGCAUAUCAAACAAUUGUUACCAUACAAGCAUAUUUGCAUUGAACUUAAUUGAUACUUUGAGAUGCAUUUUUUACAUUAAUGUGUAAAUAUUUUCAUCUUUUCCAAAUGAACAUUUUGCAUUUGUAAAUAUAGGGUUUAUAUAAACUUUAUAGAAACUUAUUAAAUGCUUUAUAUAAAUUGAUUGUGUACCUCAUAUUGAUUAAAAACUCUCUUAUUUAUUGCACAGUUGUGUGUGCAUAUGUCUGACUUAUGUCUUCAUAGUCCUUAAAGUUAAAUUACUGUAAAUAGUAUUUUAUAAUAAUGUUAAAAUAUUUAUCUAAACUAUAUACAGGUUAUCUGUUAAAUUAAGUUUCAUACAUUUGCAUUGUCUAGCUAAUUAAAGCGGAGUGUUUAUAUUCUUGCCUACAUGCAGUGUAUGGUUUAGACAAAGCACAUUACACAACUCAUGUUGUUUUAUCCAUCAUUACUAACCAGUGUUAAGUCCGUAGAGGUUAAAGUAUACUAAAUAUUUCGGUUGUGCAAUGCUAUGCUCUCUAAAUAAAUCAACACCAUUUAUUGAUUUUCUAUGUGGGCACCUAAAUUCCUAUGACUUUAUUUGUGAAUAUUUAUUUGAAUGUGCGGUAGGGAAAACAUUGUUUGCUUGAAUGUUAGAAACUUAAGGUUGACAUCUUGAAAGAUGGCAGUAAACAUUUAACUGCAGAGUAGCUGGGGAAAAGAUUGCUGUUAAACAAUGUAAGACAGAACUCCACGCAAGAUAUGUCAUGCAUGCGAUAUGCAUGAAUUAUCUUUUUAAAAUAAUUUGGAUCUGAAUUAUCUUUAAGAAAUAGUAUGGUUAUGAGGGUCUCUAUGUGCAAAAUGUUGCAUUUAUUUAGUGUACAAGUUAUUGCUUAAACAUUGAAUUUGUUAUGGAAAUAAUAUAGUUUAUGUGACUUAAAGAGAUUUACAUGUUUAUGUUAGUGAUGUGUUUUUGCUGAUCCAAGUCUGUUCCUGCACACUAUUUAAAGUAGAUAACUACAAGUUAUCUCAUUUAAAUGGGAAAAGUAUUGUACUGUGAAAAAGUGUUGUGAAUUCAAAUAAAAAUACUAUGAACCGU